rnacentral:lncRNA from 1 species
ACAAACUCUAAUCUUUGUUUCUUUUGAAGAUAGUUGAUAGGUCUUUUUAGCCAUCAAUAAUGUUCUAUUCUAAGAUAAAAAGACCACCCUAUUAUUUUUUUAUUAUUGAGGCUUUUAUAGCUUCUUUUAAAUAAUAUAUUUGUAAAACUAUUAUGAGUCGUUUCUACCUCCAAUAAAAUCACCAAACAUUAGGAGUCUCUUUCAAGGUCAUGAUACCAAAGACAUUGUACUAUCACGGAUACAAAAUACAGACUUGAAAUCUAACAAGAAGUUCAAGAAGAAGUGACAAAACUAGAUUAAACAGAUGAGUACAAGAACAACACCAGAAAGGUGAGCUAAAACUCCAAGAGAUGUG